rnacentral:rRNA from 1 species
GUGGGGAAUAUUGGGCAAUGGGGGCAACCCUGACCCAGCGACGCCGCGUGAGGGAAGACGGCCUUCGGGUUGUAAACCUCUUUUGUACGGGAAGAAGGAAGUGACGGUACUGUACGAAUAAGUCCCGGCUAACUACGUGCCAGCAGCCGCGGUAAUACGUAGGGGACGAGCGUUGUCCGGAAUUACUGGGCGUAAAGGGCGCGCAGGCUGUGCUGCAAGUCAGCUGUGAAAUGUCUGGGCUUAACCCGGGCAUGCGGUUGAGACUGCAGUGCUGGAGUGCUGUAGAGGCAAGUGGAAUUCCCAGUGUAGCGGUGAAAUGCGUAGAUAUUGGGAAGAACACCGGUGGCGAAGGCGACUUGCUGGGCAGCAACUGACGCUGAGGCGCGAAAGCCAGGGGAGCAAACGGGAUUAGAUACCCGAGUAGUCC